rnacentral:lncRNA from 1 species
CCCCCUGAGCCGUGUCCCGUGGGUGGCCUUGCUCUGGGUCUGGUGUCACUCCGGUGUCACUCCGGAUCCUGCCUCACUCCGGUUCUGGCCUCGCUCCUGUUCUGAUCUCACUCCGAUUCUGGUCUCACUCCGGUCUCACUCCGGUUUUGGCCUCGCUCCAGCCCCAUUUGUCCCACCGGCCUCCACCAGCUCCAUGUUCCCUGCAGCCGCUUCCCCCAGGCACUGCCUGCACCCCCGGGCAGGAGCUGGAUGGGGCCGGGGAGUCCGGGGGGGGCUCGGGGUGGUUUGUGGGGCGGUGAGGAUGAGCCUGAGCCAAGUGCCUGGCACCCAGGGCCGAAUCCAUCCCAGGGCCGAGCCCAUCCUGGAGCCGAUCCCAUCCCACACCCAGGGCUGAUCCCAUCCUGCACCUUUUCGGGCAGCCUCGAGGGCUGUGUGGGGCUGUUGGGAGGACCCAUCCCAGGCAGGGCCAUUUUGGGGGCGAUGGGACCUGCCCCGGCCAUGGGGAUGGGGCUGUGCUUUGGGCUCCUUCCUCCCGUUCUCUCUUGGUGCUGCCACAACCUCGCACACGGCCUCGCUCGGCGAGUUACCAGCGAGAUGGCGCUGGGGGGACCCCGAGCCCUUUGGCACGGCGUCGCCAGACGAGCACUGAGGAGCGAGCUCCCCUCUGGGGAGGACAUUUGGGCACCUGCCGCCUCCCUGCUGCCGAAUUUACCCCCCCUUUGGGAACCCGAGAGCCUCUCCGGCAGCCCGGUUGCUGCAGCGGGACCUGUGGGGGGGGGGGGACGAUGCCCGGGCGCUGCGGCGCCGUUUCCCCCCUCAGCUCCCGCGCUUCAGCCCUGCCUCUGCUUGCCCUCCGCAGCGCCCCGGCCCCCCGCCGCCGCCGCCGCCGGGCUUCAUGUGAGAGAUGGCGAACGCCGAGGUGAGCGUCCCUGUGGGCGAUGUGGUGGUUGUACCAAGUGACGGCAACGAAGGGGAGAACCCGGAGGAUACCAAGACCCAAGUGAUCCUGCAGCUCCAGCCCGUGCAGCAGGGGUGAGUCGGGCACCGAGGGGCGGUGG